GCCGUUGUAGCUCAGCUGGUAGAGCACGUCCAUGGUAAGGACGGGGUCACCGGUUCAAUCCCGGUCAACGGCU
rnacentral:tRNA from 2 species